CCGGGGGCGUGCCUGAGAAACUGGGUAACUUGAGGGCAGGAGAGGGGAGUGGAAUUCCCAGUGUAGCGGUGAAAUGCGUAGAUAUUGGGAGGAACACCAGUGGCGAAGGCGGCUCUCUGGCCUAACCCUGACGCUGAGGCGCGAAAGCGUGGGGAUCAAACAGGAUUAGAUACCCUGGUAGUCCACGCCGUAAACGAUGGGUGCUAGGUGUAGGAGGUAUCGACCCCUUCUAUGCCGUAGUUAACGCAAUAAGCACC
rnacentral:rRNA from 1 species